rnacentral:rRNA from 1 species
UGAGUAAUGUCUGGGAAACUGCCUGAUGGAGGGGGAUAACUACUGGAAACGGURGCUAAUACCGCAUAACGUCUACGGACCAAAGUGGGGGACCUUCGGGCCUCAUGCCAUCAGAUGUGCCCAGAUGGGAUUAGCUAGUAGGUGGGGUAAUGGCUCACCUAGGCGACGAUCCCUAGCUGGUCUGAGAGGAUGACCAGCCACACUGGAACUGAGACACGGUCCAGACUCCUACGGGAGGCAGCAGUGGGGAAUAUUGCACAAUGGGCGCAAGCCUGAUGCAGCCAUGCCGCGUGUGUGAAGAAGGCCUUCGGGUUGUAAAGCACUUUCAGCGA